CCUCAGAAAGCCUGGAUUUUGUUUCUCUUUUCUGCAGUGUACUCAGUGGGAACCCCUGUGUGGGUGAAGGGACUGUUGUGAUGUGGAGCCUGCUUUCUGCUGAUGUGUACCUCUGGAGGACCUCCAUCUCAGCCUGGGCAGAGAGUGCCCUUGCCGAACCGGUAGUUGUUCACGGUUGGUUGUGCUUCUCAGAAUCAGUCCCUGUACGCUUCCUACUGCACGCUGUCUGUAUAUUGCUCUGAAGCCAUAUUCACCUGCCUGGUGCAGCAUGCAGAGAAUACCCGUGUCGAGAGGAAACUUUGCUCUUGGAAUUGAAUUAUGAAUAGACUUCCAGGAUGUGAACCUCCUGUAUACUGGAUGAGGAAAUGGGCAUACGCUAGAAAGAUGGCCUCGCCAUGAAUUCCUUGUGACUCAGUAGACACGUUGCUUGGACUUAGAAUAGAAAACUCAGUGAGUAGUGGGUGAGUAGUUGAGUAAUGAACAACUGUGUUAAUUUUCUUGCAGAAAAGCUACAGUGUAUGAAGACCUUGGCUUUUUAUGUCACCUGCCAUUCCACAUAAACUUUUACAGGUACUAGUCACACUGUUAAGUUCCCAUACCUGCUUGAUCACAUCAUUUUUUUCUUGUGGAUGAAUCCUUGGUCUUUUUAGCUCAUUACCCCUGUAUAAAAAGGGCUAAUAGUACUCAGUCGUUUCACAGGUGUGUCACAAGGACAUAUAUAUCAGAGGAAUUUGGUUAUAGGGCUGGGAGUGCAUGCGUUCCUUGGUGCAGCAAGGUGACAGUGUAUUUGGACAGAGGAUGCUGAUCAUUUUCAGGAUCUGGGCCAUGGCUUGGUGUAGAGGUAGACUCCAGCUCUCUGUAGUGAUCCUGCUGUGAGGUGGACGCUUGAGAAGGUUGUGACUGGGAGAAGGUGGCGUUUCUGUCCUCUAACAGCUCCUCCUUCCAAAAGCAUCCUGCCUUUUGGGCUGUAGUGAAACUGGCAGUCUGAGAGCACUGGAAGCCCUGUGGUCCCUGGUCUGAGGAGGCUCCAGUUGCUAAAUUCUCAGUGGAGUGGAGCAAGUUUGCGCUGGACUUGGAAUAGAGCUGUUUUCUAGUCAUUCAUCUAGCUCUGAAGGGUGACAGAGUAGAGACUUCAGGAUUAACGAAUCCAGUUUGGAACUUAAAGUUGAUACCAUUUUGUUCAAAUACUUGGAUUAUGUGUGUUAAGUUUUUUUAUUAUUAUUAUUUUCUCUAAAUAAAGUGUAUGUUUCUUGUUGAUAUUUUGAAAAAUCUCAUUGGCUUAAAAACGUAGAUCAAA